rnacentral:rRNA from 1 species
AAGAUUUAACGAUGAAGAGUUUGAUCCUGGCUCAGGAUGAACGCUAGCGGCAGGCUUAACACAUGCAAGUCGAG